UAGGGAAUCUUCCACAAUGGGCGCAAGCCUGAUGGAGCAACACCGCGUGAGUGAAGAAGGGUUUCGGCUCGUAAAGCUCUGUUGUUGGAGAAGAACGUGCGUGAGAGUAACUGUUCACGCAGUGACGGUAUCCAACCAGAAAGUCACGGCUAACUACGUGCCAGCAGCCG
rnacentral:rRNA from 1 species